AUUCUACUACAGGGGAUGUGACACAUCCAGACACAAACUGAAACUAUUCUCGUUCAACAUGAACAAAGGAACGGGGUUUUUUGAAGUAUUUAGAAAUGAAGGAUUCAGCAACAGCAGGGUACUUACCCUUGAUGAAAUUCUCAAUACAU